rnacentral:tRNA from 1 species
GACGGUUUGGCGAGUGUCAAAGACGCCAGAUUUAGCCUCUGGUCUAAAACGGCGUGGGUUUAAAUCCCACAGCCGUCA